ACUAUGCUUAGCCCUAAACAUCGAUUGCACCAUACACUCCAUAUCCGCCCGGGAAUUAUGAACGUCAGUUUAAAACCCAAAGGACUUGGCGGUGCUUAACAUCCAG
rnacentral:rRNA from 1 species